rnacentral:rRNA from 1 species
GAUGAACGCUGGCGGCGUGCCUAACACAUGCAAGUCGAGCGGUAGAUACUGGAAUGAGAUUUCGGUCAAGUGAAAGUAUUGAGAGCGGCGGAAGGGUGAGUAACGCGUAGGCAACCUGCCCCCUACAGAGGGAUAGCCUCGGGAAACCGGGAUUAAAACCUCAUAACGCCAAGAGUUCACAUGGACUCUUGGCCAAAGAUUUAUCGUUAUGGGAGGGGCCUGCGUCUGAUUAGCUAGUGAGUGGGGUAACGGCCUACCAAGGCAACGAUCAGUAGCCGACCUGAUAGGGUAAUCGGCAACAUUGGAACUGAGACACGGUCCAAACUCCUACGGGAGGCAGCAGUGGGGAAUAUUGCAAAAUGGGCGAAAGCCUGAUGCAGCAACGCCGCGUGAGCGAUGAAGGCCUUUGGGUCGUAAAGCUCUGUCCUUGGGGAAGAAAAAAAUGACGGUACCCUUGGAGGAAGCCCCGGCUAACUACGUGCCAGCAGCCGCAGUAAUAC